rnacentral:tRNA from 1 species
CGCACUGUAGUUUAUUUAAAAACAUUGGUUUGCAAAACCAAAAAUGUGACCACCAGUGUGU